rnacentral:misc_RNA from 1 species
AGGUCCGGCCAGUGUGGCCGAACCGUUGGCACGUGCGGCACUGCUGGGGAGGAGGGACCCAGGCCUUUAGUGGGACCAUGAGGUGCCCGCAGUGGAUUGCACGCAGGAGCUUUAGCCCCCUGAAAUUUUGUCUCUUCCGCGCCACGCAUUUGGCACUUAGCAAACAUGAACCUAUGGCGAUGCCGAGGCUGGCGAUACACAGGGAUGACAGGGGGCUGGCGUGACAGGCCUAUUCAAUCGCUAUCGUAUUAAUUAUGUUUUAAAGCUAGGAUCACGAUUUGUGGUGUCCUGUUUUAUGUUUUUUUUUGUGGUGCCUGAGUUUUUAGGAACGCCACUUGGUGAACGCUUAAUAUGGCAGCAUCAGGCACGGAUGUAAACAGUGCCCUAUCGUGCUGUAAUUAUUAUGCAAUAGCUUGGGUUGACAGGGUCUGGUAUGCGGGAGCAGGAGUGUGCAGAUAAUAGAAAGGGUGAUCGACAUCAAUGCCAGCAGCCCGUCCAUGACGCCACCGCACGCCGCUGAACGCCCGCUCAGUGCUGCCGCCUGGCGGCAGGAGGUAAAAGCCGUAGUCGCGGACAUCGCACCGCAGGUGGCGUCUGCAGCGCCGUCGUCGCUGCCGGCGGACGCGGGCGGCGCGCUCCUCAACAUCACCACGCUGGAGGGGCGGUGUGUGACCGUGCGUCUUUCGGCGGGCGGCUUCGCCGUCUGCGGCGAGGGGCACGACGCCGACGACGGCGGCGACGGUCGGCUCUUCGAGACGCCGUACGCGCUGUUGCACAGCGUUAGUCCCGGUUUCACGGCUGCCUUCGGCCUCCAGCUGGCCGAGCGGCUGGGCCGGCUCGGCGCCGCACCAGCGCCGUCCCAACAGGGCUCGGUGGAUGACCAGGAGGUUGCCGUGGACGGGAGUCGCGCGGUGACGGCACGUGCGACCGACGGCGCCCGGGCGGCAGCCGAGCACGCGCCGGACGGACUCGACGGCGCUGACGGACUGGACAGCGCUGGUCAGAGCCGAUGUGGCCGGUUGUGAUCUGAAGAAGCGAGCGAGAACUCGAGUGUUUAUGCGGCGUAGCGAUAUAGGCACGCACAUGUCAAUCUGGAUCAUGCUGCAUCGUUGUCAGCCCCCGACUGAACGGCACCGGGUGGCA